rnacentral:snoRNA from 1 species
CGGCAACUAGUCUCGAAUGAGCAAGUGAGUGGAUCGAGAAAGGAAGGAAGGGCGGGCCCGGUGUGCCGUGGCUGCGAACAGUAGCGUCCUCGGUAGUGGGGUUCUCAUGAGUGUUGAUUGUCUGGGUUGCCCUAAGGGACCCUGGAGACAGCC